UACAGAGGGUGCAAGCGUUAAUCGGAUUUACUGGGCGUAAAGCGUGAGUAGGUGGCUCGCUAAGUCGGUUGUGAAAGCCCUGGGCUCAACCUGGGAAUUGCAGUCGAUACUGGCAAGCUCGAGUUCGGUAGAGGGUGACGGAAUUCCCGGUGUAGCGGUGAAAUGCGUAGAGAUCGGUAGGAACACCCGUGGCGCAAGGCGGUCUAGCCUGGG
rnacentral:rRNA from 1 species